rnacentral:rRNA from 1 species
GAUGAACGCUGGCGGCGUGCCUAAUACAUGCAAGUCGAGCGAACGGACGAGAAGCUUGCUUCUCUGAUGUUGGCGGCGGACGGGUGAGUAACACGUGGAUAACCUACCUAUAAGACUGGGAUAACUUCGGGAAACCGUAGCUAAUACCGGAUAAUAUUUUGAACCGCAUGGUUCAAAAGUGAAAGACGGUCUUGCUGUCACUUAUAGAUGGAUCCGCGCUGCAUUAGCUAGUUGGUAAGGUAACGGCUUACCAAGGCAACGAUGCAUAGCCGACCUGAGAGGGUGAUCGGCCACACUGGAACUGAGACACGGUCCAGACUCCUACGGGAGGCAGCAGUAGGGAAUCUUCCGCAAUGGGCGAAAGCCUGACGGAGCAACGCCGCGUGAGUGAUGAAGGUCUUCGGAUCGUAAAACUCUGUUAUUAGGGAAGAACAUAUGUGUAAGUAACUGUGCACAUCUUGACGGUACCUAAUCAGAGAGCCACGGCUAACUACGUG